rnacentral:rRNA from 1 species
CCACACUGGGACUGAGACACGGCCCAGACUCCUACGGGAGGCAGCAGUAGGGAAUCUUCGGCAAUGGGGGCAACCCUGACCGAGCAACGCCGCGUGAGUGAAGAAGGUUUUCGGAUCGUAAAGCUCUGUUGUAAGUCAAGAACGGGUGUGAGAGUGGAAAGUUCACACUGUGACGGUACCUGACUAAGAAGCUCCGGCUAAAUACGUGCCAGCAGCCGCGGUAAUACGUAUGGAGCAAGCGUUAUCCGGAUUUACUGGGUGUAAAGGGAGCGUAGACGGUUUGGCAAGUCUGAUGUGAAAUUUCAGGGCUUAACCCUGAACCUGCAUUGGAAACUGUCGGACUAGAGUGUCGGAGAGGUGAGUGGAAUUCCUAGUGUAGCGGUGAAAUGCGUAGAUAUUAGGAGGAACACCAGUGGCGAAGGCGGCUCACUGGACGAUAACUGACGUUGAGGCUCGAAAGCGUGGGGAGCAAACAGGAUUAGAUAC